rnacentral:rRNA from 2 species
UGCAUGCAAGGAACCC